CCCAGACUCCUACGGGAGGCAGCAGUGGGGGAUAUUGCACAAUGGGGGGAACCCUGAUGCAGCGACGCCGCGUGGGUGAAGGAGCGUUUCGGCGCGUAAAGCCCUAUCGGCAGGGAAGAAGGAGGACGGUACCUGACUAAGAAGCCCCGGCUAACUACGUGCCAGCAGCCGCGGUAAUACGGAGGGGGCAAGCGUUAUCCGGGUUUACUGGGUGUAAAGGGGGCGCAGACGGCAGCGCAAGCCAGGAGUGAAAGCCCGGGGGCCAACCCCGGGACUGCUCUUGGAACUGCGCGGCUGGAGUGCAGGAGGGGCAGGCGGAAUUCCUGGUGUAGCGGUGAAAUGCGUAGAUAUCAGGAGGAACACCGGUGGCGAAGGCGGCCUGCUGGACUGCGACUGACGUUGAGGCCCGAAAGCGUGGGGAGCAAACAGGAUUAGAUACCCCGGUAUA
rnacentral:rRNA from 1 species